rnacentral:misc_RNA from 1 species
CACCGUCAUUCCUUUGGUCUAUCACUACUUCAAUAUUACUUCUCCACAAGCCGCUUACUUGAUCGCAGUAAAGCCCUCAUCUAAUGCUGACCACCUCGUUCUUCUCGUUUCUCAUGAAAUGUUUCCUCUUCCCGGGAAGUCCCUCGUUAGCGAGGUAAUAAACAAGCUUCCCCUCAUUGAUGGGUGGCGCACACUCUUCAUCGACUCCGAAAAGAAUAACAACAGGACUGGGCGAUUUGUGGCUGGCAUUGGAAAACUGCUCAAUAACGCGCCUCCGUCAAAUUUAACUCGCAAAGACUUAGAUGCAAAGUUUUCCUCAAACUAUCAGUUUAAAAUAACAAUUGAGGGAUGCUACUUCUACGAUGAACCUUCACUUCAGUGGUCCGCUGCGGGCUUGAAAGUCCUCAGGGCUAACGCAACCCAUACAAUAUGCGGCACUAAUCAUCUCUCUCAGUUUGGAUCAGGAUUUCUCCCAACGGUGAAUGAAAUCAAUUUUGAAUUCCUUAUAGCAAACAUGGGCUUCAUAGAUAAUACUACUCUUUACGCCACCCUCAUUAUAAUUCUUGUCCUGCUCACCAUUGCUAUGAUUUGGGGCCACUACAAGGACAGAAAAGACAUUGAAAGAAGGGGUGUCAUCCCUCUGCCCGAUAACAAACCCGAGGACAAGUACAUUUAUGAAGUAACUUUCUUCACCGGCCCUGAUUCGGACGCUCCAUGUGAAUCGCAGAUAUAUUUUAUCGCGUCAGGUGACUAUGAUGAAACAGAAGUGCGUUUUCUACCUAAAGCGAACUCGAAUCUCUACCGCCGAUACGACAGGAAUACAUUUGUAAUGACAACGGCUGGUCCACUCGGUACGCUGCAUUACCUGCGGGUUUUCUUAGACAAUAGAGGCAGGUUGCCGUACGACAGUUGGCAGCUUGAACGUGUCGUGUUCCGGGACCUCCAGAAGUUUGAGCAGUACACCUUCGAAACAAAUGCAUGGCUUGCGCUCAACCGCGGCGACGGUUUGACGGAUCGAACAUUUUUGUGUGCCGACAACAACGAAGAUAUGUCAACAUUUUCGCAGAGAAUGUACAACAACACAAAUCGAAAUGUAAAUCAAGACCACAUAUGGAUGUCCGUUUUCUUACGCCCAAUCGGUUCCCGAUAUUGUAGAAAAGAACGGAUCUUGGUGUGCGCUACGUUCUUAUUUGUUUCUAUGCUCCUGAACGCAAUGUUCUAUCGGCUAGAAGGCGAGUCUCCAAUUGAUGCAUAUGCGCAGAUUGGUCCCGUACCAAUUGCUCUUUCUCAGACGAUUAAGGGCAUGAUGGUGAUCAUCUUUGUCCUUCCCUUAACAGCUUUGCUUGGUGCCGUUUUCAAACGAGCUCGUCCUAGGAAGUAUGUUCGAUGUAGGGCGCUGGAUGCUAUCGAGAAACAACGUAAAAGUCAAUUUCUGAAAAUCGGAUUGACGAAGGAAGACGCUACAGAAAGCUCAAAAGUUCUUGAGAACACUGACGCGGAACCUAAACCAAAAGUGAAACCUGUUGUAAAAUGUCUUCCAUGGUGGACGAGGCCACUUGGAUGGAUUAUUUGCGUUGCAGUUAUGGCCUUGUCCAUUUUCUUCGUUUGGAGUUAUGGCAUCACCUGGGGAGAGAUUACGACAGUCAAGUGGUUUGCUUCGUUCUUCACAUCCUUCCUAGUGUCAAUCCUGGUAAGCCAAUGGCUAAAAGUAGUGUUUGUCUCGAUCUUCAGCAGCAUUUGCAGCUCUACUGACCUCUCUAUUGAGGACAUCGACUGUGACGAAGAACUGCCCCAGCUGAAGGAAGAUGAGAAAUGGAAUUACACGAGUCAAAUUGAUCCAUCCACCGUUAGGGAUGUCCAUAAAGUCAUUGGCGUCGCAUCCGACGAUGGCACGAUAAAGAAGUUGAGAACUAAACUCACUAAAGACCGAGACAUGAAAUUCAUAGUCCGUGGGAUUAUCAUUUAUAGCAUUUUCCUCGCCGUGCUGUUCAUCGUCGUUAACGACAAGACGGACUUCAACGCUUUUUUGAUGCAAAAGCAUUUCAAGCAAACCUUCAUUGAUGAUCGAUAUCUUGCAUUCGGGCUCCCAAAUCAGCUUCGAAACACCGAUCAGUUUUGGCGCUGGGCAAAACUGUCGGUCAUGAAUGAAACGCGGGCGCAGAGGUGGUACAACGGGGAUCCGCCCUACGGUCUCCGAGGCUUCUUGAAUGACAAAGCAAAUCGCAUGGUUGGCUAUCCCAUUUUACGGCAGAUAAGGAAUUCACGCUUUGUGUGCUCGGUGCCGUACCCAAUGAACGAUACGGUUGCAGACUGCACGGGGUCCCGUGACGUGCUUUUAGAAGAUGACCAGGACUACUGCGCGAAUUGGGUGAUCGGUGAACUUUCCGAUGCAGCCUGUACCUACCCCGAGUUUAAAUACCAAACAGCGAGUCAACUAAAAACUUUACCGAGUGUGGGGCGUCUGGGAUCGUAUGGAGCAGGCGGAUACGUUAUCAGACUUCUUGGUAACCAGGAAACUAUUGUUGCGAGGCUGGAUAUGCUCCAACGCUUCAAAUGGAUUGACAGGCGCACGCGGGCAGUUUUCCUGGAGUUUUCCGUGUAUAACGCGAAUGUAAACCUUUUCAUGACGUGCCUAAUUUGCUUCGAGUUCAAUGAAGGAGGUGGUAUCUUCAUCAAAUGGAGGUUUGAACCUGUUCGACUAUUGAGACUGGAAAGCAGCUUGAAAGACAAUUUUGUGCUUGUGUGUGAGCUCGCGUUCGUUGCGGCAACAGUAUUCUUCUCUUUAAGGCUGAUAGUUGAAAUUAAGAAAGAGAGGUGCGGCUACUUCUUCAAAUACUGGAAUAUAGCCGAACUUUGUUUAGUGAUACUCUCUUGGGUGGAGAUUGCCUUGUACAUUUACAAGCUGCUUCUAACUCUCGAGGUUGCGGAUGAGUUCAAUAGAACGAAAGGAAAUGCAUAUCUGCGAAUGGACAACCCAGUUGCUGUGGACCAAUAUUAUACGUCCAUUUUAGGCUUGAUCAUGUUUGUAUCGCUACUGAAACUCAUAAAGCUCAUGCAGUUCAACAAAAGAAUGGACGUGUUGGCCCUCACAAUUUCGAUGUGUUGGGACGAGCUGGCAUAUUUUUUCAUUGCAUUUGCCGUUAUAUUUUUCGCCUUUUGCUGUCUUUUCUAUUUCAUAUUCUCCUUGCACCUGUCCGCGUUCACUACAAUUCUCUCUGCCGUCUCGACCAGCUUCUCGAUGAUGCUCGGAAAAUUUGACUUCGAUGAAAUGCAACAGGCAAAUUCACUGUCACCUCUUCUCUUUUUCAUCUUCUCGGUGCUGAACAGCAUGGUUCUGGUCAACAUUAUGCUCUCCAUCAUCUUAAAAGCCUUCAACGAAAUCAAAAUAGACCUUAGUAAUAGAAGUAAUCGCUAUGACGUUAUGGACUACAUGAUUGAACAUUUCAAGAAGACCCUUGUGCUCCAGCCAAACGAGAUAAACCAAGUGCAAGUGAAUUUGAACAAAAGAGAACACGUGGCCUCGCAAGAUGAGAGCAAUCACGAUUUGCCUGAUAAGUUGGGACAGCUGCUGCAGUACGUCAACAGCGUUUACUUCGAAGGCCAACUCGACGUCUCGAAGUCCCAGGCGCUGAAGGAAGCCUUGGCAGCGGACCACCGCGCUCAGCGAAAGAGGACGCCCAUCUUCCAGCAGGAUGUGCAGCCCAAAACCAUCUUCUUUAGCGACUAAAACUCUCGUCGCUUGGGAACAUAGAGCAAUUCCAUUUGUUCUUGAAUUCUUCUUCACUUAUUAGAAGCUCUAUUCCAUAGAGGUUCUUGAGAAGCGGAGCAUCGUUCCGGCCCAAACCACCAACCUGGCUAGCUGGCUCAACCAUGAAGGAACACAAAACUGUGUCGGGACUCAGGAGCGCAGCCGAGUACCACCAAUUUAUUAAAGUUAACCUCAAUGUGAAUAUAAUCUUAGCAGAUAGGAGUGAAUGAAAUUUGCUAU